rnacentral:sRNA from 1 species
GCAGGUUCGAAUCCUGCACGACCCACCAAUAUACAAGGUGGUAACUGGUAGAGAACGUGAAGGAUAACGUUGCUUUAGCAACGGCCCGAAGGGCGAGGCGAAGCCGAGUCAUCCUGCACGACCCACCA